AUCGCACCCAACCAGUAUGGGAAUCACAAGACAUGGUCCGCGUCUGAUAAUCCUUGGUGUUAUUCAGAGAAAGAAAAAACAGAUUGAAUUUGCAAACAGGCCAUCCACUUCCACAGUGUUUGCUCCUUCGAAUGCUUCUAAACUCUCGAUUCGUGAACUACUUCAAUCUGACAAACUUUUCGCGCAGAAGAUACUUUAUCGUCAGCUCGAUCGACAGCAGGUUCCUAAAAGAGAACACCUUUGUUGGAUGGUAAGAGUCUUAUGUCGUCCAUGGUACGACACGAUUCUCGAGGAAAAAAGAUACCCGUCAGUUCAAGAAAAGAAAGACUUAGCUUUGAUGAUUAUACAUGCCUUUCCACAUUUGAAAACAACUGCGGUUGAAGGUGGAAGCGAAGAGGUAUGUGGAUAUUAUCUCAAAUAAUGAAUUAUGAAC